UCUGUCUCCGAAGCACCAGCAAAAUUAAAGUAGGAAACCAAUAGCCACCAUCACUGGGGUUUCACGUUAUGCAGUAAAUUAUUCACCAUACAGUAUGUGGGGAUUGAGAGAAAUAAAAAGAUGGAGAAAUAAAAAACACAGAUGAAUUGCUGUGGAGUCCACCUGUAGCUCUCUUUCUCCGGGGCGAUGAUCACUCCUAUCUUCAGUCAGUCGACAUUCAACUAGAGAGAGCGGUGAUCUGUUUCAGCACCUUUGCUACGGACAGCUCCAGCAGCAUCAGCAGACACCGAGCAAACAUUCGUGGAAAGCAGAAUCAUCAGCUUACCUCUACCUACUGUAUGUCACCUGUUCCUAAUGGACCAUAUCAACUGGAUCCACCUCAUUUCUGGCCGGGAGCCUGUCUACUACUACUCAAGGAGUACAGACCAAUAGAACACAGCACCACAUCAGAGGCUCAGGGCCAACUGGAAGAAAGGUGCAUCUUUGACUGGCUGCUCCACAUGUCUGCAAGUGCCAACUGAUCCACCCUACCCCAGGAGACACUCAGCCACUUGGAGAACCAGAGUCACAGUUUUACUUGUUUUUUAAAUGUGCAAUACUUCCAACACAUUCAUGAACAAUAUAACAGGAAAAUGAAUACAAUGACGCUCUUGUAUUUAUGAAGAGAGAUGCCACCAUUUCAACAAUUUCUAUUUCAUGGUCUCUAGAAUAAAUCAAAUAGAAAAACAUUAUGAUUCAGUGCUAUAUUCUGUGUGGUAAAAGGGAAAUAGAUCUUUUUACGAUUUUCAGAGCUCCAAAAACAUUACAACAUCACAAUCCUAUACAGGCAGGACAAGAGGCACAGUGAUUGAAGACAUCUCAGUGUAGAUGAUGUUAAGCAAUGUUGUCACAUGAAAUUCUUUCAGAUUCUUAGGCAAUCUUUAAAUCCUGCACAAUCUUAUGUGUGAAAUGUGCUCACAUAUUGUAGAGAUGCAAGGAGUCACAGUGUAGUUUCAUGAAGAUCUAAAAGAGGCUUGUUUUGUAACGAAGAAGUCUGCUUGAGAUCAAACAGACAGAGAGGAUCUCUUACAGACGCUUACAAUUGUUCACAGGCAUCCUUUUAUACUUUUAAAACAUCUCCUCCAUGUACUCUAUAUGAUAUUGGAGAAGCACAUAUUUUAGGACAGUAUCCUUCUUAUAGACUUCCAUAUUUGAGAGACAACAGUGUUCAACCUGUCUGUCAGAUUCUUUGUGACACCAAUAGGUGUCUAUACAGCACGUCUUUCACACAAGAAGAGUUUUCACACAGAGUAAAUCUUUCACACAACAAAAUCCUAUUGAGAAAAUCCUACAAUGAGACCUCUCCAAAAACUAAAAAUAUUCACAGCUAAAGUAUUUGAAAACACAUCAUAUACAAAUGUAGUAUUGUAAAUGCAUGUGGAAGCAAAGAAAAGGCAGGUAUGUGUGUAAUGCAAAUUACUGUAUGUAGUCUAGAUCAAUAACUUUUGUGUAAAAUGAAAUGUUACCUACGAGAGUCUUGUGAAGUGAAUGUGAAUGACACUGUUGGCAGGCAUUACACUAGUCACUGCUACAUCACCUCCCAGCCACAUACCGUAUAUAAAUCUCACAUGACAAAAGCACAGAAAUCAAAAGGUUUUAGCUAAUAAAGACCAACUACAUGUUUUAACCCUAUGCUUUGUGUAAUACAAGGAGGAGUCAUGAAACUGGCACAGCUGGCAAUAGAUGAAGACAACUUAAACUGCCCAAAACUGAUGCCAAGCUCAUCUGUGUACAAUUCUCUAUUAAGAAGGAAUGCCUGGAGAUUUUCUUGGCCACCUUACCUUCAGUUCUUACCUGAAGCUCAAAUACUAUCCUCCAGGCAUACCUGUAGGCAAUACAAUCUCAUCUUUGUUUAUAAUGGGUUUAGUGAAAAUAAAUAAACUAAUGCAUUUAAAGAAAAUCACGAAAGUCGCACAAAAACACCAAAAAGCAUUUCAAUUAAUGAAAAAGUGUGACAACAUCACCUGAUGUACUGUACACCAACAGAAGUAAUUAUUUGCAAAACCUUCCAUUAGCCGUUGGACCUUGCUCAAAAGAUCAAUAGAUCAUAAGACACUCAGAAAGAAAACCUGAGAUUUAUACUGUUGAAAAAAGGUCUUUGUAAAAAUAUGUAUGUUGGAACACUGACAUGCUAUAAUUUAUGAUUUGACAGAUGCAUUGGUGUACACUAAUAUUCCCCUGAAAAAAAGUCGAUAAUUAUAUGUGCAUUUCUCAACAAACAUAAUAGAAUGCCUAUAACAUGUCAACCCUCAAAAGAGUUCUUACCACAGACUGCUGAUUUGCACACAAACUGUUGAUUGUUUCAGACAAAUUUACAAGUACUCAAUCCAGUUGCAUUGCAGUAUAUUAAGGCAUAGCUGUGCAAGUAUGAUCCUUCAAGCUUUGGUCCUUGCAGGUUAACUAAUCCUAAUAUAAUAACCUUCCCAACACUGAAGAAUUUUGAAGACUCUCUGCAUGAAACGGUGAAACACUUCCACAGAAUGUUGUUUUGGUCUUGGGUGCAGCAGUUGGCCUUCACUGGGU